AUGAAGAGCUAUGCUGACAAGAACAGGACUGAACGUCAGUUUCAACCUGGUGAUCAAGUUUUGCUGAAACUCCAACCUUAUGCCCAACAAACGGUGGUCAAUCGUCCAUAUCCCAAAUUAUCCUACAAGUAUUUCGGUCCCUAUACUGUUCUGGAGCGCAUUGGUGCUGUCGCAUACAGACUACAAUUACCCGUUUCAGCUCAAGUACACCCAGUCUUUCAUGUGUCCCAAUUGAAGCCAUUUACUCCAAACUACACUCCUGUGUAUACGGAUAUUCCUGCCGUGCCGGAUUUGACAACAGUAGCACCGGUACCUGUUGCAAUCCUUGAUCGUCGGAUGGUACGCAAGGGCAAUGCAGCAGCACCUCAAGUUCUCAUUCAAUGGGCACAUGUUCCUCCAGAGUGUGCUACCUGGGAGGAUUACUACGUCGUCAAAAGCAGAUUUCCUGAAGCUCUUCUGUGGGACGAUGAGCAAGCUCAAGCGGGGGGCAAUGUCACGCCUUCCUCCAAUUCGGCGGACAGCGAGUCGCCGGCUCCAGACUCCCUGACGAGUGGACCGGCGAACGACGAUGACGUGGACGAUGAAUAG
rnacentral:rRNA from 1 species